rnacentral:rRNA from 1 species
UACGAAGGGGGCUAGCGUUGUUCGGAAUUACUGGGCGUAAAGGGCGCGUAGGCGGCGCUGUAAGUGAGAUGUGAAAGACCUGGGCUCAACCUAGGAAGUGCAUUUCAUACUGCAGUGCUUGAGUACGAGAGAGGAAAGUGGAAUAACGCAUGUAGAGGUGAAAUUCGUAGAUAUGCGUUGGAACACCAGUGGCGAAGGCG